rnacentral:rRNA from 1 species
UACGUAGGUGGCAAGCGUUGUCCGGAAUUAUUGGGCGUAAAGCGCGCGCAGGCGGUCCUUUAAGUCUGAUGUGAAAUCCCUGGGCUCAACCCAGGAACUGCGUCCGAUACUGGUUGGCUUGAAUCCGGGAGAGGGACGUGGAAUUCCAGGUGUAGCGGUGAAAUGCGUAGAUAUCUGGAGGAACACCGGUGGCGAAGGCGACGUCCUGGACCGGCAUUGACGCUGAGGCGCGAAAGCCAGGGGAGCAAACGGG